GAUUGAAGCAUUUUCGGGAAUUUUAAGUGAUAGUUUCAAGUGUGUAAUUUUGUAUACUCAUGUAGAAAUCUUUUUUAAAAUGUUUCAAAAAAAAUGUUUUUUAAAGAUUUUUUCCAGCUGAACUGAAAUCGAGCACAUUGAACAAAUACCAUACUCUGUGGUCUAUGAUUAUUAAUAACGACCCUAAUAAAAGAGGAGCGAAAGAUACCAGAGGGACAUUCAAACUGAUGAAUCGAAAAUAAACUGACAACACCAUUGCUAAAAAAGAAAAAUACAAAGACACAAACAAAAGUAUACAAGACACAACAUAGAAAACUAGAGACUAUGCAUGUUUAUGCAUAUUUGUUCAUGUUUUAAGGCAGCA
rnacentral:lncRNA from 1 species